rnacentral:rRNA from 1 species
UACGGGGGGGGCAAGCGUUGUUCGGAAUUACUGGGCGUAAAGGGCUCGUAGGUGGCCAACUAAGUCAGACGUGAAAUCCCUCGGCUUAACCGGGGAACUGCGUCUGAUACUGGAUGGCUUGAGGUUGGGAGAGGGAUGCGGAAUUCCAGGUGUAGCGGUGAAAUGCGUAGAUAAUCUGGAGGAACACCGGUGGCGAAGGCGGCAUCCUGGACCAAUUCUGACGCUGAGGAGCGAAAGCCAGGGAGCAAACGGG